UCCUACGGGGGGCAGCAGUCGAGAAUUUUUCACAAUGGGCGCAAGCCUGAUGGAGCGACGCCGCGUGGGGGAUGAAUGGCUUCGGCCCGUAAACCCCUGUCAUUCGCGAUCAAAGCGCAUUAUUUAAAAGAUGAUGUGUUGAUAGUAGCGGAAGAGGAAGGGACGGCUAACUCUGUGCCAGCAGCCGCGGUAAUACAGAGGUCCCGAGCGUUGUUCGGAUUCACUGGGCGUAAAGGGUGCGUAGGUGGUGAGGUAAGUCGGAUGUGAAAGCUCGGAGCUCAACUCCGAAAUGGCAUUGGAAACUACCUUGCUGGAGGGAUGGAGGGGGGACUGGAAUUCUCGGUGUAGCAGUGAAAUGCGUAGAUAUCGAGAGGAACACCAGUGGCGAAGGCGAGUCCCUGGACAUCUCCUGACACUGAGGCACGAAAGCUAGGGGAGCAAACAGGAUUAGAUACCCCGGUAGC
rnacentral:rRNA from 1 species